GCUGACGAGUGGCGGACGGGUGAGUAAUGUCUGGGAAACUGCCUGAUGGAGGGGGAUAACUACUGGAAACGGUGGCUAAUACCGCAUAACGUCGCAAGACCAAAGAGGGGGACCUUCGGGCCUCUUGCCAUCAGAUGUGCCCAGAUGGGAUUAGCUUGUUGGUGAGGUAACGGCUCACCAAGGCGACGAUCCCUAGCUGGUCUGAGAGGAUGACCAGCCACACUGGAACUGAGACACGGUCCAGACUCCUACGGGAGGCAGCAGUGGGGA
rnacentral:rRNA from 1 species